UACGAAGGGGGCUAGCGUUGUUCGGAAUUACUGGGCGUAAAGCGCGCGUAGGCGGUGAUCUUUGUCAGAGGUGAAAUCCCGAGGCUCAACUUCGGAAUUGCCUUUGAAACGGGAUCGCUUGAGUCCGAGAGAGGAUGGCGGAAUUCCUAGUGUAGAGGUGAAAUUCGUAGAUAUUAGGAAGAACACCGGUGGCGAAGGCGGCCAUCUGGCUCGGUACUGACGCUCAGGCGCGAAAGCGUGGGGAGCAAACAGGGAUUAAGAAA
rnacentral:rRNA from 1 species